CCUACGGGAGGCAGCAGUGGGGAAUCUUGCGCAAUGGGCGAAAGCCUGACGCAGCCAUGCCGCGUGAAUGAUGAAGGUCUUAGGAUUGUAAAAUUCUUUCACCGGGGACGAUAAUGACGGUACCCGGAGAAGAAGCCCCGGCUAACUUCGUGCCAGCAGCCGCGGUAAUACGAAGGGGGGCUAGCGUUGCUCGGAAUUACUGGGCGUAAAGGGAGCGUAGGCGGAUAGUUUAGUCAGAGGUGAAAGCCCAGGGCUCAACCUUGGAAUUGCCUUUGAUACUGGCUAUCUUGAGUAUGGGAGAGGUUAGCGGAACUCCGAGUGUAGAGGUGAAAUUCGUAGAUAUUCGGAAGAACACCAGUGGCGAAGGCGGCUAACUGGCCCAUUACUGACGCUGAGGCUCGAAAGCGUGGGGAGCAAACAGGAUUAGAUACCCUGGUAGUCCACGCCGUAAACGAUGAGUGCUAGUUGUCGGCAUGCAUGCAUGUCGGUGACGCAGCUAACGCAUUAAGCACUCCGCCUGGGGAGUACGGUCGCAAGAUUAAAACUCAAAAUGAAAUUGAACGG
rnacentral:rRNA from 1 species